GUUUGUUUCUACAUGACAGACACUUUUGCUGCAAGGGAAGUACUGCGAAUGACCUGAUACAAGCAUGCAAAACUGGAUCAUUUCCUUCUGGCAGACAGCGAUGGAGAGAGGUGAGAGAAGAAACCCAGUGUUCAGUCCCUGGUGUUAGGGCACAGCCAACAACUGAGUCUCAAUUGCUUCGUGUCAAUGACUGCCAUGUGGAUAAUAUUAAUUUAACCUUGAACUUGCCAUCAUCACCGUUGCCAUUCCAUCUCAUCAGAAACCCAGCAGCUGACAUCAUGGCAAAUAGGUCAACUGAAGAAAUGCAAAUGAGGAGCGAUUUCCUGCAGUGUGUGGAGAAAAAAGGGGCUGUGGCAUUCAUAAAAAGUGUUGAAGAAGUCGUGAAAAAAUAUGGGGAUAAGAAAUUGUCCCUCAACAUGCAAGAAGGUUCCCAAAUGUUAAGAUUUGGAAACCUAGAUAACACAGUCUAUGCAGGAGAACAUGAGGAAUUGAAUGAUUGGAAAUGGUCCUACCUUCCAGAGAGUAUGGAAAUGGUGGUAAUUGGAGCAAUAGAUGACUUUUCUUUUUGUGAAGCAGAGUGUUCCCAAUUGGUUGUUUUGGUUUGUGAGGAUCGCAAGGUCUAUGCCUAUGAAGAUGAGCGCCUGCAUCUGUUUGCAAACACUUUGAAAGAUAUGUUUGAUUUUCAAAUCAAAUUGCCAAGUGAAACAAUCCAUCGUGGGAAGUGCUUUGCAGACGUGACAGAAGAAAAGUGGGCUGAGGUGUACAAGAAUGCAAAGAAAAUGGAGGAAGAGGUACACAAUGCAUAUCAGGAAGAAAUAGCCACCCGUUGGACAUCCAAGCAACCAAACCUGUCUGUAGAAAAGAAGGCAAACAAGGGAAUGAGAACCAGAAAUAGUCAAACAUCCGAACAGUGCAAAAUGAAGCGGAGGAAUCGAACAACACACCAAACAAUAUCCUUAAAAAAAAGUAGAACACGUGUUUUUGUUGUCUAGAAAUGUUCUAUAAUUUAAUUGUUUUGUGAAUUUAUUUUUUGUAUGUCUAUGUCUACAUGUUUAUAUAUAUAUAUGUUUACAAGAAGCAAUGGGAAGACAGAGCAGGGAUGUUCAAAUUCAAUUUUAUUUGUCACAUACACGUGAUUAGCAGUUUUAUUGAGGGUGUAGUGAAAUGCUUGAGCUUCAAGAUCCGACAGUGCAGUAAUAUCUAACAAGUAAUAUCUAACAAAUUACACAACAUAUACCCAAUGCACACAAAUCUAAGUAGGAAUGAAUUAAGACUAUAUACAUAUGGAUGAGCGAUGUCAGAGCAGAACGGACUAAGAUACAGUAGAAUAGUAUAGAAACAGUAUAUACAGCUGAAGUCGGAAGUUUACAUACAUUGAGGUUGGGAGUCAUUUAAAACAAGUUUUUCAACCACUCCACACAUUUCUUGUUAACAAACUAUAGUUUUGGCAAGUCGGUUAAGACAUUUAUUUUGUGCAUGACACAAGUAAUUUUUACAACAAUUGUUUACAGACAGAUUAUUUCACAUAUCACUGUAUCACAAUUCCAUUGGGUCAGAAGUUUACUUACAUUAAGUUGACUGUGCCUUUAAACAGCUUGGAAAAUUCCAGAAAAUUAUGUCAUGGCUUUAGAAGCUUCUGAUAGGCUAAUUGACAUAAUUUGAAUCAAUUGGAGGUGUACCUGUGGAUGUAUUUCAAGGACUACCUUCAAAGUCAGUGCCUCUUUGCUUGACAUCAUGGGAAAACCAAAAUAAAUCAGAGAAGACCUCAGAAAAAAAUUCUAGACCUCCACAAGUCUGGUUCAUCCUUGGGAGCAAUUUCCAAAUGCCUGAAGGUACCAUGUUCAUCUGUACAAACAAUAGUACGCAAGUAUAAACACCAUGGGACCACGCAGCCGUCAUACCGCUCAGGAAGGAGCUCAUAUUUCUACAAUGAGUUUCCAAGUCGAAAAUGUCCAUGUCUCCUAGAGAUGAACGUACUUUGGUGCGAAAA